GCCUAAUACAUGCAAGUCGAGCGAACAGAUAAGGAGCUUGCUCCUUUGACGUUAGCGGCGGACGGGUGAGUAACACGUGGAUAACCUACCUAUAAGACUGGGAUAACUUCGGGAAACCGGAGCUAAUACCGGAUAACAUAUUGAACCGCAUGGUUCAAUAGUGAAAGGCGGCUUUGCUGUCACUUAUAGAUGGAUCCGCGCCGUAUUAGCUAGUUGGUAAGGUAACGGCUUACCAAGGCAACGAUACGUAGCCGACCUGAGAGGGUGAUCGGCCACACUGGAACUGAGACACGGUCCAGACUCCUACGGGAGGCAGCAGUAGGGAAUCUUCCGCAAUGGGCGAAAGCCUGACGGAGCAACGCCGCGUGAGUGAUGAAGGUCUUCGGAUCGUAAAACUCUGUUAUCAGGGAAGAACAAAUGUGUAAGUAACUGUGCACAUCUUGACGGUACCUGAUCAGAAAGCCACGGCUAACUACGUGCCAGCAGCCGCGGUAAUACGUAGGUGGCAAGCGUUAUCCGGAAUUAUUGGGCGUAAAGCGCGCGUAGGCGGUUUUUUAAGUCUGAUGUGAAAGCCCACGGCUCAACCGUGGAGGGUCAUUG
rnacentral:rRNA from 1 species